CAUAAACAAAGCAUUUCCAAAGGCAUGCUGUUCUGCAGAACAUGCUGAGCUGCCCGGAAAGUUUGUUAGGGAAAAUGCAGCAGUAUCAGAGCACUUCAUCCCGGGGAUCUGAAUGAAUUUGUGAAGAGAACAGGGAAAUAAGAGCUAAGAGAGAGAAAAAAAAACAAGCAGGCAAUAAGCAGAGCUGUCCACAGGGGGCAGGGCUUGGGGCAGGGCCUGUGCCGGAGGGUGGUCCAGCACAGUGGUGGCCUCGGGGCCCAGGCUGGAGGGGGCCUGGCACAGUUGAGGCCUCCUGUGAGCCAAGAAGGAAGGGGGCCCAGGCACAGGUAGAGCCUCGGGGCCCAGGAUGGAGGAGGACCCAGGCACAGGUGGGGCUGCUUUAAGGCCUAGGCCUGAGAGGGGCCUGGCACAGUAGGGGCUGCUUUGGGGUCAGAGCUGGAGGGGGGCCUAUCACAGUUGAGACCUCGUCUGGGCCCAGACCAAAGGGGGCCUAGGCACAGCCAGGGCCUUGAGGACCAGGAUGGAGGAGGACCAGGCACAGUUGGGGCUGUGUUGGGGCCCAGGAUGGAGGAGGACCAGAAACAGUUGGGGCUGCUUUGGGGCCCGGGCUGGAGGAGGACCAGGCACACAUGGGGCUGCUUUGGGGCCGAGGAUGGAGGGCGGUCGGGCAGAGUUGAGGCCUGCUCUUGGCUCAGACCAAAGGGAGCCCUGGCACAGCCCGGGCCUUGGGGCCCAGGAUGGAGGAGGACCAGGCACAGUUGGGGCUGCUUUGGGGCCCAGGAUGGAGGAGGACCAGGCACAGUUGGGGCUGCUUUGGGGCCCGGGCUGGUGGGAGGCCCGGCACAGCCAGAGCCUUGUGGCUGCACUCCCUCUGUACAGUUCAACCUUGAUCCAUAAGCUAAAAUGGUAACUGUAGUGAAAGGCAGUAGCUGAUCCAGCUGCUUUCCUGUGUUUGAAUUUUCCUAAGAAUGGGGAAGGACUCAAGCUAGUAAACAAAGAGCCCUUUCUGAAGAACAGGACUCAGAAAGUAUGAGCACAUAGCAGAUCUGCCAGUAGAGAUUCUUCCCCUUAGACAGCCAGCGCUUAAAUGAGGGUGGGGAAAGCUGGAGCCAGGCUCCACCCCUUUUUUGCCCAGUGCCCCCAGCUCAACACACCCACUGCUCAGUGUGUGACCAUCUCCUUCCCCAGGAACAGCACAAGGCAACAGAGACGUUGACAGCAGCGAUGGUGAUGGAGAUGUUGAGAGUGGAGGAGCUCUUGGCUCGCUGCAGCCACCCCAGCAUCCCCGGAGGUGGGCACGGGGGAGCCUGGGGGGGGGCUUUGGUGCUGCACAAAUGACUGCAGGCAGAGGUGUAGGAAAGCGAACGCCAAAUGUUUAAUAAUUUAACGUACAAAACAGCAAAUACAUGAUGAUAUUCCCAACCUUUUCCCACCCUAACAAUUGUUUCUGAUCCCACCCCCUAAAAUUCCCACCCUCUAAUCAAUUUCCCACCCCCCAGCUCCCACCCCGCAAUCAAUUUCUCAACACCCACCCUCCUCCGCCCCCCCGCUCCCUCCCACCAAUAGUUCCCUCCCUCUGCAAAAUACCUCCCAGCCCUCCACAUUCCCACCCCAACAAUUCCUUCCUCCAAAUUCCAACAACUUGGGAGUGUAACGUGAUCAGAGUACAAUUUCUCCCCCAGAAUUGCCACCCCACAGAAUUCCCUCCCCCUCCCCCCAUCUUCAGUGCCAGCAGUUACGGAGUCCAAUCAUUUUUGAUGCCAACCAUCUCCCACGGCAGCCAUUUCUCGCCCCAGCAGUUUCCCACCCUGGAUUCCCACCCCAACAACAUCACAGUACAGCCAUUUCAUUUCCAACCUCAGAAAGAUCCCAGUGCCCCAGGAAUUCCCACCCCGAGAGUUCCCACCCCAAAUUCACUCCCCCCACCCCGGAUUCCCACCCCAACAAUAUCACAGUACAGCCAUUUCAUUUCCAACCCCAAAAAGAUCCCAGUGCCCCAAGAAUUCCCACCCCAAGUUCCCUCCCCCCACCCAUUUUCCACCCCGCAGCCAUCCCCACACCACUAUUUCCCACCCCCCGCCCUCUUCCCACCCCCCAGCCAACGUUGCCCAGCCCAAAGCUUUGACAGUCCAAGCCUUUGGCGGUCCAUCAGCUUCAGAGUCCCGCAUUGCCCCAGCCCAAGAUGCCGUUUGUGGACAGCCCAGUUUUGGAGGGGUAGGGCUGGGGCCGGUGCUGGUGCCCCCGGAACACUGCCGCUGCUGUCUGGGCAUGGUGGGGGCCAGCGAGGAGCCCAGGGCUCCAGGGAGCCGUCUUGGUCGGCUAUGGCCACGUCUCCUGCUCCAGCAAGUGGGCCGGUUUCUUGGUGCGCUCCCGCUCGAGCCGCUGUUGGGCUGUGAUGGGCACCCCAUCAGGGCACA
ensembl:lncRNA